rnacentral:rRNA from 1 species
GUCCUGGCAGUAAACGGUGCACGUUUGGUGUAGGCGGAUUCGACCCCGCCUGUGCCGGAGCUAACGCGUUAAACGUGCCGCCUGGGAAGUACGGUCGCAAGAUUAAAACUCAAAGAAAUUGACGGGGGCCCGCACAAGCGGUGGAGUAUGUGGCUUAAUUCGAUGCAACGCGAAGAACCUUACCAGGGUUUGACAUGUAUUGUAACCUCGGUGAAAGCCGGGUAGCUGGGUUAAACCAGCGCUUUACACAGGUGCUGCAUGGCUGUCGU